rnacentral:tRNA from 1 species
GCGCCCGUAGCUCAUUCGGAUAGAGCACCGGCCUUCUAAGCCGGGGGUGGCAGGUUCGAAUCCUGCCGGGCGCG